rnacentral:lncRNA from 1 species
UGAACGUGUACAGGGGAGCCAAAGUGACCAGAGGGAGCCUUCAGCACGGAAUCCCAUAUGCUGCCAGGUCCCAGAGUCUGGCUCCUAUUACCAGUACACAAGACCUAUCAAAACCUGGCUCUAGGCCCCCGGGGACUGGCAGACAUCUUCAGGGCACAGUGCCAAAUGUGUUCAUGAAGACAGUAACAUUCCUCUCAUCAUUUUCUCCAGAACUUUGGUGCUUUGAGUCAAAGGUUGACAUAAAGCUUUCAAAACAAAUGUGACUUCCCUGAAGUGACCAGCGACCGCAGUCGUGGCAGGAUUAUGCAGAACUGGAGUGGGCUGAAUGAUUGGAAAGACAGCCUGUCUGCUGGUUACCUAAAAUAACAUCGUUGGUGGAUAUCAGCAAAUCACACAUGGUCGAGAUGGGGAGACUGACAGUCAGCCUCUGGCAAGGUUUCCCUGUGACUUGGGGUUUGAGAGUCUCUGGAGGCUGUGGGAAGACAGAAGCAGAUACUGACUCAGUUCCUGCCCAGAACAAUAGUUGAGCGUAUGUGUGUGCAUAGGUGUGUGUGUAUUUGGUGUCCAGAUAUGCACUGUAUGUGUAUAUGUACAUUUAUGUGUGGUCUGUGUGUGUGCUGGGAGUAGUAUAAGUGUGGAGGGUGGUGUGUGUAUGUUUCUGCCCUGUGUGCCAUGGCUGUGGUGUGUAGGUGUGGUUGUGUGUGUAUUUGCCUCUGUGUGUGCGUGUGUUAUGAAGGUGCUGAGGCAAACAUUCUGCAUGAGACUGAGAAGAUGGUGACCAGGAGAGAAAAGAAUGGAGGCGACUCUCUCUUAGCCAAGCCCUUGAAGUGCAUUGGACAUGUUCAUCCCAGGGGGCCGAGUGAACAGGAGACUGACUGGGCCACCGAGCAACUGAUAGCACCUAGCAAUGGUCCCUCUUGGUUGGGAAGGCUCCUCGCCUCUGCAGGGUAGGAAGAGAAGUAUAUUCCAAAGAAAAUUUGACAGAAAGGAGAGAAAGGGCUCUCCGGCUUCCUUUGCAGUUUAUGCACAGCUUUUAGUUUGUACAAUUUUUUUUCAGUAUAGCUCUGUGCCAAAAGAGCUGGCUCAGUUGAGCAUGUGGAGGAAAAUUCAUGGCCUGAGUCAGUCCCAGGCCACAUCAAACAAAGCAAGGCAUUUUUGUCCUUCCUGGCAGGGACAGCAGCAGGGAGAUUAUAAAGGAUUUUGGUCAAGGGAGUGUCGUAAUGAAUAUCCUGUUCUAGGAGCCCUGAGGCUCUGGAUGGAUUGGAGGAGAGACAAUGAACGCCUUGCCCUAAGUCACAGCCCUGUUGCUCUCUGGUUGAGUGUCGGCAGAGCCCCAGAUGGAUUUACUGGUCAGUGCAGGUCAUUGGAAUGGUGGUCUCACUGCAGACUUCCUGGCUUCCUGUGCAGAGCUCUUUCCACCACCCCAGCUAACAGGAUCUGUGGUCUCCUCUAUCUCUGUGGUGCCUUCAGAAUCUCGUGUUUCACCUGGGUCUGGAGAAGUGCUCUGUCUGACCAAUAUGUCACAGGCUCUUCAGACACCAGGUCUGAGGGUUUGGACAAGCCCUGCUCCUUGCAAGGGAGCUUAAUGGGACUUGACAUAAAAGCUGCCCACAACGACAUUUUGAGUUUACUGAGCAGAAACUGAGAUCCACUUGCAAAAUUACUUUAAGGGCUGAAUUGGAUGGGCCUCAUACUCCACUUUCAGAAAAUCCUUUCAUAAAUGAUUAACUAAUGACACAAAAUGAAAAUGUUGCCAGUUGGCUGUUGACCACAUGGUGCAAAUUGCCUCUCCAGCUUGAAGGUCACCAGUGUCUCCAUUAACAUUUGGGACAUGGAUAUCCUAAGUUUGACCUUGGAACAUUUGAGGAAAUAGCCUGAUUUUUAAACGAUAUUUUUUAUUGAGGUAUAAUUUCUAUAGAGAGAAAUGCUCAGCUCUAACCUACAGAGUUUGAUGAAUUUUGACAAAUUUACACGAGUGUAACCACCAUCCCAAUCAAGACAAAACAUUUCCAUCACCUAAAAAGUUCCCUUUUGCCCUUUUUCAGUCAAUCCCAACUGUUCUGACUUCGAUCAUCAUAGAUUGUUUUUGACUUUUCUAGAGUGUCUGUUAUGGACUGAAUGUUUGUAUCCCUUCGAAAUUCAUAUGUUGAAACCUUAACCCUCCAGUGUAAUGGUGUUAGGAGGUAGGGCCUUUGGGAGGUGAUUAGGCCAUGAGGGUGGAGCCCUCAUGAAUGGGGUUAGUGCUCUUCUAAGAGGGAUCCCAGAGAGAGCCCUUACCCCUUCUGCCAAGUGAGGCCGCAGUGAGAAGAUGGCCAUUUAUGAACCAGGAAGCGGGACCUCAACAGACACUGAAUCUGCUGUCUCCUUGAUCUUGGACUUCCCAGCCUCCAGAAAUAUAAGAACGAAAUUCCUGUUGUUUAUAAAUCCUCCAGUCUAUGGUAUUCUGUUAGAGCAGCCCAAACUAGGACCGUGUCAUAUAAAUGGAGUCAUACAGGAUAUAGCCUUUUGUGUCUGGUUUCCUUCACUGAGCAAAAUAUUUGUGAGAUUCAUCCAUGUUGUUGUGUAUAUGGGUGGUCCCUUCCUUUCUAUUGCUGAAGAGUUUUCCAUUGUAUGUAUAUUCCACAGUUUGUUUAUCCAUUCAUCUGUUGAGGGACAUUUGGGUUUUUCCAGUUUGUAGCAGUUAAGGAUAAAGCUGCUUUGAACGUUUAUGUACCAGUCUUCGUGUGAGGUAGGUAGAAACUACAUAUGUCUAGGGUAAAAACACCUAGGAGUAGAAUUCCUGGGUCGUAAGAUAGGUGUAUGUCUAACUUUAUAAGAAACUUGUGGCUUGUUUUUUGUGUCACCUUCCUGAAAGGAUGUUCAGAAGUCAGCGUGCAAAGCCCACACCAAAACAACCUCCACAGGGAGAAGGUGGUAACAGAGGGUUGACAGCUUUUAUUGCAAAAAACUGUUUUAACCAAUUCCUGAAUUAACCAACUCCUGAGUCGUUUUUAUAAUUGGUGCUAACUUUGGUCUGUACCCAAGAAAAUGCUCAUUCACAUUAGUAACGGAAGCAGACUAAGCGGGGCAACAAGGAAGCAGACUAAGCGGGGCAACAAUACUGAAAAGCGCAGAAGGUUAUUUACGCCAAAAGGUUGACCACACCUUUCGGAAUUUUGCCUUAAGCUCAAGCAAUUACAGUUUAGCAGGGUGUUUAUUGAGAAAGUAAACUGUGGAAAGGUCACCCUUUGAAAAGCUAAUCUGAGUCCCGAAUUUUCACUGCUGUAGACUCCGUUUUAUCCAGGAAAGAUAAACAGGCUAUUCUGUGACUCUAGGGCCUGGCUGUCUGGGCCUUCACCCUCUGUUAGAUGUAUCAUCAAGCCGUAUUGCACAAGAAAGCAGCAUGAGAAAGCUUUUGUGUUUGGCAGACUAAACAGGGGCAAGGGGUCUGACCCUGGCUGGACCUGUGGGGAACUGGAGCAAAGGGGUCUGACCACAGUUAUGUGGAGGACCCCAGAACCCCUUGGAAAUGCUGCUUCCCUUGGCAAGACCUCAGAGGAAAUGGCUACCGGGUGGCUGGUGAGGCCAGGAACUAGGAAUUAUGGCCUAGAAAGCUCAUGCGAGAGGCUGGACUGGCACAGCCUCCCCACCUGGAAAGUGGGGCCAUCAGAAGUGGAAGCUAGAGCGGGGGCCUGCCGCCGUGGAACAGGAGCAUCGGCAGGCUGCUGGCACGUCUCGGGGGACCAAAACCACUGACGCUGCAUUUCCUGGCAGUGUUAGUUGUCCUCUCUCGUAGGAUGAAUCGUUGUCACCAUUCCUCAGACGCUUCCUGUCUUAGAAUUUUACACUCACGCCCUUUGCCAUGUGACUCUGCAGGCUCCCCAUUAGCGUGAGUGGAGGAGACCUCCUGCCACUGGUGCUGGCACGGCCAUGUGGCUUGUUUAGUCAGUGGGGUGUGGGCAGGAGUGAAUCAAGAGGCCUCAGGAGGCAUCGUGUGUCUCUGCCUAACUUUCUGUGGUUUGUUAUGCAGGAUUAUCAUAGCAUUUGCUCACUGACAUUUACACUAAUAAUGUUUCCUCCUGUUUCAUAAUAAUUCAAAUAGCAAUUUUUAACUGGCUGUUUUUAAUAAGACUGACUUUCCCAGCCUUCCUUGCAGCUAGGUGUGACCAUGUAACUAUUCUGGUCAAUGAGAGGUUAGUAGAAAUGUUGUGUGGCAGCAUUUCUGAGACCUUUCUUAAAGGCCUGUGGCACGCAAUGUUCACCACUUCCUGCAUCCUGCUAUCUGGAACAAAGAUAUGAUGGCUGGAGCUCUGGCUGACGUUUGGAUCCUGAGAAAGAAGGCCAUGUGCUAGGGAAGAUGGAGCAGUGAGCUGCCGGGGCUCUUCUAUGAGAGACAAAUAAACUGUGUUCUUUAAGCCUCUUGAUCUUUAAAAUUCCCCUGCUGAGCUUACUCCAGACACAGUUCUCAAGCCAAUUUUUAUAAAUCUGAUAAAUAACUGUGAUUUUACUUAGAAGUAGACUAGUGUGCAGCAAUGAUCCACUGUUACUACUAAUCAGCUGUUUGGUACUAAUCCAAAUGGGAACAGCACUUAACAGUUUAAAAAUAAAUCUCUCGGGAGGGAGAAUGGGGAGCGACUGGUAACAGGUACGGGUUCUGUUGGGGGCAAUAAAAAUGUCCUAAUAUGAGAUAGUGGUGGAGGUCGGACAACUCUGUGAGUAUAUGGAAAACAAUAGCAGGGUGUACUUUUAGAGGGUGAAUUUUACGGUAUGUGAAUUGUAUCUCAAUGAACUGUUAAAAAACUGAUCACCUGUUCAUUGUUUACACCGUUGUGAGGCGGGUGCAGUGUUUUCCCCUGCACCACAGCACAGGAAACUGAGGCUCAGGGAGCUUACGCGGCCCUCCCAGUUCACUCACCUCGUGAGUGUCAGAGACAAGAGGGGAACUCGGGUCUCCUGACACCAGUGCCUGUGCUUCCUCCACUCUCUCCAGCGUGUUUGCACCUCCGUCUCGGGGCCGCAGGAACCUGGACUCAGGGACUAUUUAGACAACACUGAGUUGGAGGUAAAGCUUGUUUUCAGCUCUCCAUUUUAGCACCUUCUCCUCUGGCACCCGCUUCCUUCUAGUCACCCUCUCUUAUAUGCCGAGUACCCUGGUUGUUCAGGGUCCCCGCCCACUCUGGUUUACAAGUAUUCUUGCCAGGAAAUAUAAAAAGAUAUUUGACUGAUAUAAAUCAACAUAUAACACAAUCGCAAGUAGCUUUGCACACGUUGCCAGCAACACUAACUCUCACGUGCCCUCCCCGACACUUAGGGUGGCUAGAGGUUUGGGACAUCUUCCUUUUGGCCUCCAUGAUCUGGAGGACUUCCAGUUGACAGCAACACACAUUUAUGGGAGGUCUGCUAUGAACCAGCGAUUUUGAUGGAUGUUUAGAUGCAUUCUUCCUUCAGCUUCCCAACGAUCCAGAGAAUCUGUGCUUUGAUGAGCCCAUGUUACAGAUAAGGAAACCACAGCUCAGAAAGCUUAGGUGACCUACCCAAGGUCCUGCAGAUGGUGAGUGACCAAGUCAGACUUCGCACCCGGGUCUCCUAGUUCUGAGCCCCGCAUUCUUUUCCUUAUUUCGUACACGCGUUUGUUCCUUAGUAUCCCCCAUGGGGUCCACCACAGGUCUGGAGCAGAAGAGGAGUUCCAGAAGGGAAUGAAAAAGAAAUAAAUGAAAGCCAGCCUUUGCCAGCUUACUCAAAGGCUUUUUUCCCUUAAGCAAGAUUUAUAAAUCAGCCCUCAACCCCAGCACAUGCAUGCACGAGAGCGAGACUCACUCUGGGGUUUUCAUUUCCAAAAGAAGACUACCAACUGCUCUGGAUUGAUGACACCGUUUGGGCGUAAAAUGGGCAGAAGGAGGACGGUAGGAAGAAAAGCAGGAGAGAUGUUGCUGCCUCUUCUCAGAGGUAACACGAGCUGCCUAAACCUCUGCUGAGGAGAUAGAAGGCAAGCAUCCUGGGAGAGGAACCCCUUGGGAGAGUUUGAAGGAGACUGAGUGUCAAGGAAACCCGCAAACUACAGCAGGAAAGGCAAGGUUGGAAAAGGCACAGGCUGGAAAGAUGCAGAAAGUCUCUCGCAAAACUAACCUAUCAUUUAAUGCCAUUUAUAUAUCUUUCCUUUUUUCAGCAUGGAUUGCGGCUAGCUGGACACUGGGCCCUCCGCUGGCACUGUGGUCACUGCUGGCCCCAGUGCCACCAAUGCCACAGGACACUGGAUGCCAUAGCCACCAACUCCACCAGAAGGAGUUCCGAUUAUGUUGUUCAGUCUGGAUUUAGAAGUCUCAGGUGAGGAUCUGACUGGCUGCACUCAGCUCCUCUGUCUGUGCUCCUGCUGCUGGAGGUCAAGGGGAGCUUUUUGCCUUCUCGGGGUCUAGAGUGGGACCCUCACAUCAGGGCAGAUUCCCCACAAUCAGGUGGCAGGCUCAGAUGCUGCACAAUUAUGACAAGAAUAUGUUUCCUGUGAUUGAGACACUGAUACCUACUUCUCAGGGUUGCUGGGAGCACUGAAUGAGAUCACUCAUUUAUUCCAUCAUCAUGCAUUGAGUUAUCCACAGUAUUCCCAGCCCUGUGCUAGGUGAGGGGUAGUGUCUAUAAGUCCCGGCACAUACUAAGCAUUCAAUAAAUGAUAACUGUCUUAAAAGAAGCUGUGAAAUGGGAGAGGAGGGGGAGAGAAUGACACUUAGGAGGGUUUCUCAGUUGAGCACUCAGUUGAGCUCUGAUCUCUGAGCUUCCUGGAAGCCAAGGGGAAGAGUUCUAAUGACAAUAACCAUAAAUAGCUGAUUUAUUGGGUACUUUCUAUGUACCAGGCCUGUACGAAACAUUCAACAUGCAUUCUCUCAGUCUUACUCCUCAUGACAACUCUAUAAAUUAGAUAUUAUUAUUGCUCAGAUUUUAUAGAUUACGAAAAAAGGUUUAGCAUGGCUAAGUAACUUGGUCAAGAUCAUCCAAUUAGUCACUGGUCUUGCUGAGUUUUGACCUAUAUCUUUCUGAUCCCAGACCCCAAACUAUUAAUCACUGCUCUAUAAUUCUCUCCAACACCAAACCUCUGGGAUGAACUCCUGAGGGACUGCCAGCUUCCAUGGCUAUGGGCCAAGCCUUUGCAAAGCUCCUGAGGUCAAGUUGCUAAAGCUGCUAUCUUUUCCACAUUUUUGUUUGCUGGGAUGGUUUGCGUUUUGUGCAACUGGUUUAAAAUUUCCCUUUCUUAUCUUCAGCUAGGAAUAGUGGCAGAAGUAAUUGAGAAGUGAGAAGUAUGAGGAUGGACGGGGAGGGAGCAAACCACUUACCCGGUCAUGGACGAUUUGCCAGGAGCUGGGCCUUUAAUCAUCAGUUUUCUAUUAAUUCCUGGAACCAGACCCUCCCUGGCACAAUGGUGAGGGAGACAAGGUUGAUUUUAUGCUCAAAAAUAUUGGGACUGGAAGGGACCUUAGAAUCAUCUAGUCCAAUUGUUUUCAAGUGUUUUUAAAGCAGUGAAAUCCAUGCUUUAAAGGAAAUCUUCGCAAAAGCCCAAAUUCUAAAAGGAAAUCAAACAGGAGGCGCUCUGGUUAAAGUGAGGUUGGGGGCCCAGAGUAGUUUGAGAAUCACUGAGUCCAAACCCUGUGACACAGGUGAGGGAACUGAGGUGUAAACACGACGCUGACUUGUCCAAGGUCACAUAGCUGUUUAGUGGCAGAGCCAGCUCCCCAGUCCAACCCAGCCCCAGUGCAGCAGCCUCUCUGGGAGAGCAGGCUCCUUGGUUCCUUCCAGCUCAGCACCCCCUGCUCUUGGGACUCCUCCUCCAGCCUCACGCAGGUAAAACAGAGUGAGGUGUUUCCCUCAAAAUCCUAGAAGACGUUGGAACACAAGCAGUACAUCUCUGAGAUGGCCCGCCCUCCCGCCCUCCCCAGAGUGAAACAGGGCAGGGAGAAAUAUCCCCUCCCACUGCAGGCAGCUAAGCCUCAUUGGCACCCUGUCAGCUCCGCUUCAGCAGGAUGUGGUGGAAUUAGUAUAGGUGACAUCCAGGGGGAGGUGGGGUGGCCUGAGGAGGCGUAUCCAGUGGAAACAGCAGUGGUGUCUGUGUGGUCAGGGUCUCAACAGGAUGCAAACGGCAUCUCAAACUGGGUAUCUGAGGAGAGUCUGAAGAAGGACCAUUUACAAAGGUGUGGGCAGUGUUAAGGGAAACCUACAAGGGGCGAUAAAGCAUCACAGGGCUAGCAACAGCCCUUACCUCUCCCAGAUCUGAGGGGACAAGAGAGGGAGUGGUUAGAAUAUGGGUCUCCUGAGAGGAGCUGCAGCCUUUCUUGGCAGAAUUGGCCAACUCACUGAAGGGAGGGAGGAGGGAAUAAAUACUCUGACCUCGCACUCCUCCAGCCUCUGCCUCCAGUUCCUUCCACCGGCUGGACCUGACCAGAAGCCAGGGCAAAGUAGCCUGGAUGAUGUAAUUCAUAAAGGUCAGCAUUGCAGGACACGGAGCAUGGCUAAGGAGGACAUCUGGAGGGGCAAGGAGAAUAUAUCCAAUUCAGUGUGAUCCAGUAGGAGAAGCAGUGUCCAGCAGACCUGGGCAAGAGCUGACUAUGCUUGUUUGUAAGCACACAUGAGCUACCCUGGGCACUCUCAGAAAUUCUAAUGGGGGCACAGGCACUUUGCAGGGGCAGAUGUAGGGAAGAACUUGAGAAAUAAGGUCAUGAAUGUGACCUCAUUUGUCCCUGGGAGGCCUGGGGAAACUCACAGACUCCAUUACUGAAGCCCAGCUGCUCUGAGGUUGGCGGUGGAGGGAGAAUGCCCUGGUUGCAAGGACAGGCGAGGUCCGGGAAGAUUCACGUUGCCCUUAGAGACCUCCUUACCUCCAGCACUCUUGCUACCAUGGCAACCUCAGGAGAGUAUGGUUUCCUCCUUGCCUUUCAUAUUUGCAACAGUGCAAUGCAAUUCUGAUACUAACUACCCAGAGUUAGCACAGACUCCACAGGUAAGGGCACAGUCUCCAACAAGACUGCCCUUGCUUCACACGCCCGGCACAAGUUCAGAGGUCUCCAGGCUACCCACACUUCUGACCAACUGGCUACAAACUUGGGUGUUCCCACAACCCCUCCCCACCAGGCUGAUAAUUCACUAGAAUGAUUCACAGAACUCUGGAAAGUGCUAUACUUACAAUUUCAGUUUUAUUAUAAAGGAUACAAACCAGGACCAACCAGGACCAAUCAGGACCAAUCAGGAAAAGUCUGGAAGGGUCCCAAACUUGGAACUUCUGUGUCCUCUCCACAUGGAACCCAGGGCGCACUCGACCCUCUCAGCGCAUCAAUGUGUUCACCUGCCAGGAAGUUCACCCAAGCCUCAGUGUCCAGAGUUUUUCUUGGGGUUUCAUUACAUAAGCAUGGUUAACUGAAUCCCUGGCCAUGUGAUUGAACUCAGUCUUUCUCAGUUGAACCCACCCCUCUGGACUGAUAUCACGUGGCUCAAAGCCCCAACUCUCUAAGCACAUGGUUGAUCUUUCUGACAUUGCCAGCCCCCAUCCUGAAUCUAUCUAGGACCCACCAGGAGUCACCUCAGUAGCAUAAACUCAAGUGUGUUCCCGGGGGCCCACUGUGAAUAACAAAUCCCAAGAGUUUAGAAGCUUCAUCCCAGGAAUCCAGGACAAAGACCAGAUAAAUCAUUAUACAACAAUAUCCCAUAGCAUGGCUGUCACAAGGCUGAAACAUUUAAGCUGGAUCUGACUAAAGGCUAACACUGUGAUGGCUAGAGUUUCCCUUGGAUCCCAACCUGCUGUGAUCUUAGUGACAGCCUAGUGUGCUGUGUGGAGGAUUCUGAAGCCACUUCCAGGAUUAAUUGGAAGGAGGGACAUGAUCAACUAGUCAUGACAGCCCUGGAAUAGAAGGGCAUUGGAAGGGGAGAGUGAGAGUGUGCAUGUGGGGUACUUGCUAACGCUGGGCUAAGGAUUAAAAAAAAAAAGGAAAAACCAUUUGCUGUUUGCUAAUGAAGACUUGCUCUUUAGAACAUGUAAGACCCAUCCCACUUCAGCUCCUGUCCUAAUGCCAUGUAGUGGGUGCCAUGUUUAACCCUUACCACACAAGAGGUCAUGUCUUUUUAUUUCUUCUCCUCAAAAUCUAGACUCAUGAAAGGGAGACUCAGAGAGAGAUGAGCGUGCCUUGGCUGCCCCCUGAAUUCUGGUUUUGAAACUAAGGAAUCAUGUCUACCCCAUGACUGUCCUAGUGAAUACAGGCAUUUUUAGGGGAUAUCAUGUCAACUCACAUGUUGGGUUGAUAGUCAACUGAUACGAACCAUUGGCUAUACCAAUUCUUAAAACAUGGAAACACUUCAUGCUGGUUGGUAAGUGAUGGCUGCUCCCCACUCCUGGAGAGGCCUUCUGCUAUUCUGGCUUUCCUGCCCCUCUCCUGGGACCAGGAGGGCUACAGACAGUGAUUUUCAGAGCUCAGUGCAAAACGAAAAUGCAGGACCGUUUGUUCAAAGUUUAUUAAGAAUGUCAAGAUGGCCACAGCAGAGCAUUCAGCCAAGCACAUCCCUUGACCCCACCAAUGCAGGAGGAGCACAGAGGGUGACCAAGAAAUAAAGCUAUUUUAAGACACUAACGUUGGAGGGUUGACUGUCACUGCAUCAUAACUUGGUGCAUUCUGACUAAUACGCACCAAUGCCCUACAAGUUCUUACGUAUUUUGACUGUCACCCUGCCCAUGUGAUGGUCUCCUUGACACCCAAACAAGACAACCAGAGUUGUUUUCUUGGAGCCUGGCUUGACUAUUAUCGGAAACUCUCAGAAUUACACAAGGCACAACCAUAUUCCCAAACCCUAUUUUUAACAUAUGAACUUUGCCAGUAUAAUGAAACCAACAUUCAGAUAAAAUAGUAAAAGUGUGUUUUUAUAAACUUGUUUUAAUACGUCACCACAAAAUAGAAGGACUUAUGUUUUCAUUGGAUACUUUUCUUAAGGGAGUGCCAAUUUCCUCUCACUGCUCCUGGAUCUGACUGAGGCAGCUCAAGAAGGAGGAAGUCAGGGGAAACAGUGGGUUUAACUUUUAUUGAUUUGUGUAGUUAAUCUCCUUCCUGACCGGUUGGGUGAGCAGAAGAAAAGAACAAAGAAAGGAGGAAUGCUGGCCUCCCAGCAAAGCUCCUCCACCCCCUUUCCAGCUCCUCCCUCUCCUGCUCUACCCCUCGGAGGAGGGGCGCUGAGGAGCGUUCGUCAGCAUCAGCGUCAGUGUUUGGAGGGACUAAAGCGUUCAGGAUUAAAAAAUAAACACAGCCGGAGGUUCAAGGCAGGAAAAAGGGGAAGGGAUGAACAAGCAGAACACAGGAAUUUAGGGCAGUGAAACUAUUCUGUACGGCACUCUAAUAGUGGAUACAUGUCUGUAUAUGUUUGUCAAAACCUAUAGAAUGUACAACAAAGAGUGAUCCCUAAUGUAAACCAUGGGCUUUAAUUAAUAAUAAUGUAUUAAUAUUGGUUCAUCAAUUAUAACGAACGUAACAUUUAUGCGAGAUGUUAAUAAUAGGGGAAACUUGGCGGGGUGAGGGGUUAUAUGGGAACUCUGUGUAUCGUCCACUCAAUUUUUCUGUAAACAUAAAACUGCUCAAACAAAAAUCAAGUCUAUUAAUUUCAAAAGAAGAAUAAUAAAUGCUUAUUAGAGAAAAUGCUCUCCUUCUUGCUUCUUGCUGCUUGUUGUUACUCUUUCUCAGCCAGGCCUCUCCUAACCAAAGGAAAGAUAAAGAAAGAGCGUAUUUUGUUGUGAGCUCAGGAGAAAGGCUAAGAGA